CACACACACCUCACCUCAGACCUCACGCCCUAGGCCUCACCUCACGAUUGGAACGAGCAGGCAGCAUCGGCUUCAUUCCCGUUCCCCAUUUUCUCUCCCACGACAAACCCUAGCCGCCGGCCACCGGCCGCCGCUGUGACCCGAUGCCCCAUCCCCUGUGAGCCCGUGACGACUGAUGACCACCGCACCGAGGCGCCGCUCACCCUGACCGAUGAAUCCUAGCGCCCAUAGCUGCGCCCAGGACCGGUGAGGCGGUGAGCCGGUGACGACCACGACCAGCGUCCAGGCCGUCAACCGCCGUGCCCCCGUGCGUCGCGCCACGCCGCCAACUCCGACCCUCCUGCGUCGCUCCUCAACCACGACGCCGACCCCGACCAGGCGACCACCAUCUAGGUUGCAGUUCAUCACCACCUCGUCCUCUUCCACGCUGGUCGCCGGCUCGCCGCCUACUGUCCUUGUUCCAUGCUCCACCUCGCAGCUGAAGAUGCUAUCUAUAGCAGAAUCUGAAAGUCAUGAUAAGGAGUUGAAUGGGAAAGAUGAUGAAGAUAUGAUUCUAGAGGCAGAGGCGGAUGCAGAAGCAACUGCUGCUGCAGAAGCAGGGGACGAAUCAGUCUAUCACCAUAGCAGAUCUCUAACUCCGCACAUAGCAUUUGUCACUUUUAGUCUAUCACCAUAGCUAGCAAAUUAUGAAAUUUGAUUGAAUACUUGACUUGUUGCAGAGUUGAUUGAAGAAUUUGGUGACAAGGUGAAGGGAAAGCGUAAGGGUGUUGUUGCUUCUUCCAUGGCCAAGUCAAACAAGUGUCCAAGUCGACCAACAAAGUGACGUCCAUGUCUACUCAUGGUUGAACUAAAAUCAUGUGGAACGUAUGCUGUUUUAGUUUCAUCUUGUACUUGUGAUUUGUGACUUGAGAAUUGAGAACUGAGAGUGAGACUGUGAGACCUUAAUGUUUGUUGUUUGCCGCUGAAUUGAAAUCAUGUACUGGACUUGGUUUGCUUCAUGUCAAGUGCUAUGUUGUCAAGUACGAAGAGGUGAUGUGUUUGCUGCUUGUCAA